CUCCCUCUUAUAAGCAUUUGAGAGAAUUAAUCUUUCUUUUCGGUAGAAAAACUAUAUCCUUAGAAGAUGUUAAAGCUGCAUUAUAUUCUAAGGAGCUACUUGAAAAGUAUAUAUCUGGGAGUAUUACCAAAGGAUAGGGUGAUGCUUUAGUUGCCAGAGGAAAGUCUAAUGAUAAGGGUUCAGGGAACAGUAGCCAGAAGCAUAGGUUUAAGUCAAGAAAUAAAAACAUAACUUGUCAUUACUACAAGAAAAAG
rnacentral:lncRNA from 1 species